rnacentral:rRNA from 1 species
CAUAUUCUCUAAGGAGGAAAGCAGGGGAUCGCAAGACCUUGUGCUUUUGGAGCGGCCGAUGCCUGAUUAGCUAGUUGGUGGGGUAAAGGCCUACCAAGGCUUCGAUCAGUAGUUGGUCUGAGAGGACGACCAGCCACACUGGGACUGAGACACGGCCCAKAYUCCUACGGGAGGCAGCAGUGGGGAAUUUUGGACAAUGGGCGAAAGCCUGAUCCAGCAAUGCCGCGUGAGUGAAGAAGGCCUUCGGGUUGUAAAGCUCUUUCAGUCGAGAAGAAAAGGUUGUGACAAAUAAUCACAACUUAU